rnacentral:lncRNA from 1 species
CACAGCCAGCCAGACGCACGUGAGAACCUCGGGCAAUGCGUGCCAGCUGCUGUGGUUGACGGGCCGGACACGCUGAGGGGACACGGUCAGCUGCAUCCACUGGCCCCUCGUUACUUCUCUCCAAAAUCUGGCUCCCCAAAGGGCAUAGGAAGAGUCAGUAUCUCUGAAGGAGAUCUACUAAAGCCAACACCAAAGAAAGAGACUUUGAGAGCCAGUAGGAUACGCUAAGCAGAAUGAUUUGAAUCUUAUGCCACUCCAUGGGCUGAGUGGAUUGAAGGAGGCUGCUGGGCUUCAUACCUCUAAAUUACUGCUUGAAGGUAAGUGCUCAUGUCAUGAACAUGUGUUCAAGAGCUGAGCAAGAGGCGUUGCUUUCCAGCAAAGGUCAACAGGAGGAGGGAAGUGACUCCACCUAGAAGUAAGAGAGUGCCUGAACUUUGACCUUUGCAUGUAAGGC